UAUGGGGGGGGCAAGCGUUGUUCGGAAUUACUGGGCGUAAAGGGCUCGUAGGCGGCCAACUAAGUCAGACGUGAAAUCCCUCGGCUUAACCGGGGAACUGCGUCUGAUACUGGAUGGCUUGAGUUUGGGAGAGGGAUGCGGAAUUCCAGGUGUAGCGGUGAAAUGCGUAGAUAUCUGGAGGAACACCGGUGGCGAAGGCGGCAUCCUGGACCGGUAUUGACGCUGAGGCGCGAAAGCCAGGGGAGCAAACGGG
rnacentral:rRNA from 1 species